GAACGCCCUGAGUAAUCAGGGAGUGGCGGACGGGUGAGGAACACGUGGGUUAUCUGCCCNUGGGGUGAGGAAUACCGGCGAGAAAUCGCCGACAAUACCGCAUAGGAUCGCAAGAUCAAAGUCGCAAGACGCCACAGGAUGAGCCUGCGUCCGAUUAGCUAGUUGGUGGGGUAAAAGCCUACCAAGGCGACGAUCGGUAGCUGGUCUGAGAGGACGAUCAGCCACACUGGGAUUGAGAACGGCCCAGACUCCUACGGGGGGCAGCAGUGAGGAAUUUUCGUCAAUGGGGGAAACCCUGAACGAGCAACGCCGCGUGCAGGAAGAAGGUUUUCGGAUCGUAAACUGCUUUUCUGUGGGAAGAGAGAGGACGGUACCACAGGAAGAAGCCCCGGCUAACUACGUG
rnacentral:rRNA from 1 species